rnacentral:rRNA from 1 species
GACGAACGCUGGCGGCGUGCUUAACACAUGCGAGUCGAACGGAAAGGCCCUGCUUUUGUGGGGUGCUCGAGUGGCGAACGGGUGAGUAACACGUGAGUAACCUGCCCUUGACUUUGGGAUAACUUCAGGAAACUGGGGCUAAUACCGGAUAGGAGCUCCUGCUGCAUGGUGGGGGUUGGAAAGUUUCGGCGGUUGGGGAUGGACUCGCGGCUUAUCAGCUUGUUGGUGGGGUAGCGGCUUACCAAGGCUUUGACGGGUAGCCGGCCUGAGAGGGUGACCGGCCACAUUGGGGCUGAGAUACAGCCCAGACUCCUACGGGAGGCAGCAGUGGGGAAUAUUGCACAAUGGGCGGAAGCCUGAUGCAGCAACGCCGCGUGCGGGAUGACGGCCUUCGGGUUGUAAACCGCUUUCGCCUGUGACGAAGCGUGAGUGACGGUAAUGGGUAAAGAAGCACCGGCUAACUACGUG